GGGUCCAUAGCUCAGUGGUAGAGUACGACCGCAGAUCAAGAGGUCAAUGUGGUUCGAACCCGGUUGGGCCCU